GCCUUCGUGGUGUAGUGAUCAGCACGCUGAGCAUGUAUUCCAAAGGUUCCGUGGUUCAAGUCCCAGUGAAGGCA
rnacentral:tRNA from 1 species